UACGUAGGGUGCGAGCGUUGUCCGGAAUUAUUGGGCGUAAAGGGCUCGUAGGCGGUUUGUCGCGUCGGGAGUGAAAUCAUCUGGCUUAACUGGGUGCUUGCUUUCGAUACGGGCAGACUAGAGGUAUGCAGGGGAGAACGGAAUUCCUGGUGUAGCGGUGAAAUGCGUAGAUAUCUGGAGGAACACCGGUGGCGAAGGCGGCGUCCUGGACCAACACUGACACUGAGGAGCGAAAGCCAGGGGAGCAAACGGG
rnacentral:rRNA from 1 species